UACGGAGGGUGCAAGCGUUAUCCGGAUUCACUGGGCGUAAAGGGUGCGUAGGUGGUCGGGUAAGUCUGAUGUGAAAUCCCCGGGCUUAACCUGGGAAUGGCAUUUGGGACUGCAAGGCUCGAGUGCGGCAGAGGAGACUGGAAUUCCUGGUGUAGCAGUGAAAUGCGUAGAUAUCGAGAGGAACACCAGUGGCGAAGGCGAGUCCCUGGACAACGACUGACACUGAGGCACGAAAGCUAGGGGAGCAAACAGG
rnacentral:rRNA from 1 species